AGCUCUGUGCAGUGGCAGUAUUGCAGUCAGUGAGGUUUAUCCAAUGUGUGAUCAUUGCUAAGUGAAAACUUUCCCCAAAACCCUGCCACAACUUGAAAUAUAUAGGCACUGGCAAUUUUUGACAGUCUCUAUGGAC